UUUAUGGAGAGUUUGAUCCUGGCUCAGGAUGAACGCUGGCGGCGUGCCUAAUACAUGCAAGUCGAGCGAACAGAUAAGGAGCUUGCUCCUUUGACGUUAGCGGCGGACGGGUGAGUAACACGUGGGUAACCUACCUAUAAGACUGGA
rnacentral:rRNA from 1 species